rnacentral:rRNA from 1 species
CCUACGGGGGGCAGCAGUAGGGAAUCUUUCACAAUGGGCGAAAGCCUGAUGGAGCAACGCCGCGUGCAGGAUGAAGGCCUUCGGGUUGUAAACUGCUUUUAUAAGCGAGAAAUAUGAUGGUAACUUAUGAAUAAGGAUCGGCUAACUACGUGCCAGCAGCCGCGGUCAUACGUAGGAUCCGAGCAUUAUCCGGAGUGACUGGGUGUAAAGAGUUGCGUAGGUGGGAUAAUAAGUAGCUAGUGAAAUCUGGUGGCUCAACCAUUCAGACUAUUAGCUAAACUGUUAAGCUCGAGUACGUUAGGGGUAACUGGAAUUUCUAGUGUAGGAGUGAAAUGCGUAGAUAUUAGAAGGAACACCAAUAGCGUAGGCAGGUUGCUGGGACGGUACUGACACUAAGGCACGAAGGCGUAGGGAGCAAACGGGAUUAGAUACCCCUGUAGUC